rnacentral:lncRNA from 1 species
GUUGUGAUUGUGAGAAUUACUUAAGCAAUGAUUAUCUGUGACUGCAGGGGACAAGCUCAGUGACCUAGGAGGCCUCUUCCAGUCCUGCAUUCUUUUGCUUGUUUAAGAAAAAUCCAGUCUUGAUUGAAGGACUCCAAAUACUGGAGAAUUGACCACAGUCCUGAGGUAGCAAAGCCAACUGCUGGAGAUUUUUACUGAAAAAUUUAGGAGCGCCUCUUUUGUCUCCCAUGCAAUUCGUGCAUCAUGAAAUACCUGUUGCCAUCAUCCCCUCUAGGCUCAGCAGUGGAAAAGUGGGGUGGAUGAGAUGGAACCCAUGGAGCUGUUGGUCUCUAUGGAGGAGCUUCAGGAUCAAAGUUGGAGGUGACAGCUCUACACUCAUGCAGCUCUCAAGGAAGUUACUUCUGAUUUACAUCAUUGCAUAUAAGAGAAGAAUCAGGCCCUUUCUAAGGGAUUGGACAUCAUUUCCUGACCCAUGCAACCCCUUGGAACGUGGCCCUUGA